rnacentral:rRNA from 1 species
AUAUUAAUAAGCGGAGGAAAAGAAACUAACAAGGAUUCCCUUAGUAACGGCGAGUGAAGCGGGAAAAGCUCAAAUUUUAAAGCUCCGUGGUUCCCACGGCGCGUUGUAAACUAAAGAGGCGUUUUUUCGUGCAGCCCCGGUACAAGUCCGUUGGAACGCGGCAUCAUGGAGGGUGAGAAUCCCGUACGUGACUGGGUGUCUGUGCGUCUACAUGGCGUCCUCAAAGAGUCGGGUUGUUUGGGAAUGCAGCCCAAAACGGGUGGUAAAUUUCAUCUAAGGCUAAAUAUUGCCACGAGACCGAUAGCGCACAAGUA